GGGAGAGAAAGAGAGCUUGGGAUGAUAUCAACAGAGCCAGCUGCUCUAAACUCUAAAGCCUGGGAAGCAAUCUGCAGAACACACUCCUGAAAGGUGAGGAGAAAAGUGGGAUAAAACAGAUCCGGUGUCUGCGAGAGAUGGUGGCUUGAGGAGGCGGUGAGAGAUGGUGGGAAACGGCAGUAUGAGUCAGCGGCGUGAGACGGUGUAGAACGUGUAAGAUGGAGUGAUACGACGGUCUGAGACGGAGAUAGACUCGCAGUCCAUGGCCAAAGAUUGAAAUGGUGAUGAUAGAAAGUCUGCAUACUGCAGUAAGGAGUCGUAUGACAACGACACUGAUUCAUUAAACCAAAAUCUUUUGAGAGAGGAAGCUCUUUGAAGAUUUGGUUGCUCAGAUUCAGAUCUGUAACUUUUAGAUCUAGAUAUGUUAGAGUAGAAAGCUCAACAACGAUGGAAACGGAGGUAGCAAGUAUUGUCAAAGUUGAAGGAGGGUCAGGUGGGUCUGGUGGUUCUGGAGAAUCCGGCAAAGAGAGGCCGGUGACAACGGCAGCCAUUGAAAGGACGGAGACGAGCUUUUUUCUUUUCUCUCUGGAGCGUUUUUUACUCCAUCUAAGAAGCUAUAUCUUCAUUAUGAAAAUAACUUGUAAAAAUUCGCAGGAAAAGGAUAUCAAAAUGAUCAAAUCGUAUUUAAUCACUAUAAUGCGCUGCGUCGUAAUAGAGACAGGAAAUAGCAGCAGACUGUAGAAAAAACACUAUAAACGCUUCCACACUCAUUAAAAAUCAAAGACUCGGUAAGAAAAGAUGCGUAUGCAUGCUUGCAUCAAGACAUCAAAGUCGUCCAUGUAUAAACUUAUGCAAGUAAAUGGCUUGUGAACUGAGACUUACACAGAAUCAAGAUCCUCUUCUCGAUUUGGUUGAAGUUGUGUUGUUCAUCGGCCGGAGAUCGAAGAUUUAUAGUCGAACCUUUCGUCAGUUACGCUGGGAGAGGAUGUGUCCGAUUGAGUGCUUGAGAGUGGGGUAAAUGGGGUACUGAAGUAAAAGCUCGGAACGAAGGACUUAUUAAUGCAAAACUGGAAACGUUACGUUGAGCUGGUGGGAGGAGUCCGGAGGUUCCAGCAAACGUUUUUCAGAAAUUCAGACGGUGCCCUAAAUUUGAAUGGGGCAGUAAUGAAUAUACAAAACAACUGGCCCAGCACAGAAUAAUGAAAACGAAUGACCCAAUCAAGAAAGGCAAUCAAACUUUAUUAUUAUAGAUAAAUACCUCAGCAGAUCUUGAGAUAAAAGAUUAGGGUUUUCCUCUACUUACUUUUUGUUACCCUAAAGGAAACAAGAGAAUGGGUAUGAUUAGUGACUUACCUGACCACAUGCUCCCUGAGAUACUCUCAUGGCUUCCAGCAAGAGAAGUGGUGGCGACGAUGCUUUUGUCCAGACGAUGGAAGUUUCUUUGGAAGCAAGUGUCAAAAUUUGAUUAUAAUUUUAGCCAAAACGAUGGCAAAGACUUUUCAUUCUUCUUUGCCUUUGCCAUGAAUGAAAAGUCUUACCCCACCCAAGAUCUGAUCAGGAAGUGGAACUCCACUCUUGGAAACUCUAAAGCCUGGGAAGCAAUCUGCAGAACACACUCCUGAAAGGUGAGGAGAAAAGUGGGAUAAAACAGAUCCGGUGUCUGCGAGAGAUGGUGGCUUGAGGAGGCGGUGAGAGAUGGUGGGAAACGGCAGUAUGAGUCAGCGGCGUGAGACGGUGUAGAACGUGUAAGAUGGAGUGAUACGACGGUC
rnacentral:lncRNA from 1 species